rnacentral:RNase_P_RNA from 1 species
UAAAGCAGCCGGAUAAUCGCGCCUAAGAAGACAUUUGUCUUACAAAACGGGUGAGGAAAGUCCGUGCAUCCGAGGACAGACCGCCGGAGAAACUCCGGGCAGCGUGAGCUGGCGGAAAGUGGCACAGAAAAUAUACUGCUAACUGCUUUAUGCAGCAGCGAGGGUGCAACGGUGAGUUAAGAGCUUCACCAGCAAUAUCGGAAGGUAUUGGCUAGCUAAACCCCGGUUGGAUGCAAGA